rnacentral:rRNA from 1 species
GCACCGGCGGACGGCUCAGUAACACGUGGACAACCUGCCCUCGGGUGGGGGAUAACCCCGGGAAACUGGGGCUAAUCCCCCAUAGGUGAUGGGUGCUGGAAUGCCCCAUCUCCGAAAGCGCUCAGCGCCCGAGGAUGGGUCUGCGGCGGAUUAGGUAGUUGGUGGGGUAACGGCCCACCAAGCCUAAGAUCCGUACGGGCUGUGGGAGCAGGAGCCCGGAGAUGGACCCUGAGACAAGGGUCCAGGCCCUACGGGGCGCAGCAGGCGCGAAACCUCCGCAAUGCGGGAAACCGCGACGGGGUUAGCCGGAGUGCCCGUGCAUCGCACGGGCUGUCGGGGUGCCUAAACAGCACCCCAUAGCAAGGGCCGGGCAAGGCCGGUGGCAGCCGCCGCGGUAAGACCGGCGGCCCGAGUGGCGGCCACUCUUAUUGGGCCUAAAGCGUCCGUAGCCGGCUCAGUAAGUCCCCCGGGAAAUCUGGUCGCUUAACGAUCAGACUUCCGGGGGAUACUGCUGAGCUAGGGACCGGGAGAGGCCGAGGGUAUUCCCGGGGGUAGGGGUGAAAUCCUGUAAUCCCGG